AUUUGCGUGCCUUAGCGCGACUUCCACGAGGAUCUGCUCGGUGCUGUUUCCCAGUACAGAGUCGGCUGUGCUCCUUGUCUGUUUCCUCGCACGGUUGGAACUCGAGCCAGCCUCGGAAACAGGCAAUUCUGGCUCCCAGCGGCCCCCGCGCCCGUCGCCUGCAUAAUGAGGAGUCGGAAACGACACACGCGUAGGUGUGUACUGGAAAAUGCGCACGUUGCCGCACGCGCAGUGCAGUGCCAAGCGAGGUGCAUGCGUGUUGCGGUCUCGGGGCAGUGCAUGCGUAGGACCUUCUGCAUGUGUGCAGACAAGCUCUGGAUUUCCCAGAGAGCUUUUUGGCACUUCCGCACAUUCCAUGGCAUUGGUGCCACUCUGGACCCCCACUCACUCAGCUUUCAAAGCCUGUUGUACUGGCAUUUCUUCCCUUGUCCCCAUUUCCUCCGAUCCCAGUCCCUGUUUCCUACCUCAUCCCCAUUUUCCCCUUCCCUCGUCCCCUUUUCCUCCCAUUCCAAUUCCAUUAUUUUAUUUUUUUCUUUGUUGCCUAUUGGUGCCUUGUUGGAGUUUCCAUGACAACAGUGCAGACUUCUGACCAAGUGAGAUGCCAAAAGAAAAGAUCUGCUGAGUCCACUGCCAGAUGCUGUUGGCCUUCUGGG